CAAGUCGCGCGAGAACCGUAGCAAUACGGGGAGAGCGGCGAAAGGGACAGUAAUGGGUAGAUUAUCUGCCCUGGGGUUCGGGAUAGCCACGGGAAACUGUGGGUAAUACCGAAUAACAUCUCCGGAUCAAAGGUGUGAUUCCGCCCUGGGAUGAGUCUGCCUCCUAUUAGCUUGUUGGUAGGGUAACGGCCUACCAAGGCAUUGAUGGGUAGCGGGUGUGAGAGCACGACCCGCGUCAUUGGGACUGAGACACUGCCCAGACACCUACGGGUGGCUGCAGUCGAGAAUCUUCGGCAAUGGACGCAAGUCUGACCGAGCGACGCCGCGUGCGGGAUGAAGGCCUUCGGGUUGUAAACCGCUGUCAGUGGGGAGGAAGGCUCCGUGAAGAGCGGGGUUUGACCUAUCCGCAGAGGAAGUGUGGGCUAAGUUCGUGCCAGCAGCCGCGGUAAGACGAACCACACGAACGUUAUUCGGAAUUACUGGGCUUAAAGGGUGCGUAGGCGGCGCGGUAAGUAGGGUGUGAAAUCCCUCGGCUCAACCGAGGAACUGCGCUCUAAACUACCGUGCUCGAGGGAGAUAGAGGUGAGCGGAACUUAGGGUGGAGCGGUGAAAUGCGUUGAUAUCCUAAGGAACACCGGUGGCGAAAGCGGCUCACUGGAUCUCUACUGACGCUGAGGCACGAAAGCUAGGGUAGCGAACGGGAUUAGAUACCCCGGUAGUCCUAGCCGUAAACGAUGAGCACUGGAUCGAAGGGUCCUCCAUAGCCUUUUGGUCGAAGCGAAAGUGUUAAGUGCUCCGCCUGGGGAGUAUGGUCGCAAGGCUGAAACUCAAAGAAAUUGACGGGGGCUCACACAAGCGGUGGAGGAUGUGGCUUAAUUCGAGGCUACGCGAAAAACCUUAUCCUAGUCUUGACAUGCACGGAUUAACUCCUGGAAAACAGGAGCCAGGCCU
rnacentral:rRNA from 1 species